AUUGAACGCUGGCGGCAGGCCUAACACAUGCAAGUCGAGCGGAGAGGCGGACGGGUGAGUAAUGCCUAGGACUCUGACUGGUAGUGGGGGAUAACGUCCGGAAACGGGCGCUGAUACCGCAUACUCUUCGCUGAGCCUUGGUCGGAUUAGCUAGUUGGUGGGGUAAGGGCCUAGCAAGGCGACGAUCCGUAACUGGUCUGAGAGGAGGAUCAGUCACACUGGAACUGAGACACGGUCCAGACUCCGACGGGAGGCAGCAGUGGUGAAUAUUGGACAAUGGGCGAAAGCCUGAUCCAGCCAUGCCGCGUGUGUGAAGAAGGUCUUCGGAUUGUAAAGCACUUUAAGUUGGGAGGCGUUACCAACAGAAUAAGCACCGGCUAACUCCGUGCCAGCAGCCGCGGUAAUAC
rnacentral:rRNA from 1 species